GACGAACGCUGGCGGCGUGCUUAACACAUGCAAGUCGAGCGAUGAAGUUCCUUCGGGAACGGAUUAGCGGCGGACGGGUGAGUAACACGUGGGUAACCUGCCUCAUAGAGGGGAAUAGCCUUCCGAAAGGAAGAUUAAUACCGCAUAAGAUUGUAGUACCGCAUGGUACAGCAAUUAAAGGAGCAAUCCGCUAUGAGAUGGACCCGCGUGGCAUUAGCUAGUUGGUGAGGUAACGGCGCACCAAGGCGACGAUGCGUAGCCGACCUGAGAGGGAGAUCGGCCACAUUGGCGCUGAGACACGGGCCAGACUCCUACGGGAGGCGGCAGUGGGGAAUAUUGCACAAUGGGGGAAACCCUGAUGCAGCAACGCCGCGUGAGUGAUGACGGUCUUCGGAAUGUAAAACUCUGUCUUCAGGGACGAUAAUGACGGUACCUGAGGAGGAAGCCACGGCUAACUACGUGCCAGCAGCCGCCGUAAGAC
rnacentral:rRNA from 1 species